rnacentral:rRNA from 1 species
UACAGAGGGUGCGAGCGUUAAUCGGAGUUAUUGGGCGUAAAGGGCGCGUAGGCGGUCAUGAAAGUGAGGUGUGAAAUCCCUGGGCUUAACCUAGGAAUUGCAUUUUAGACUAUGUGACUAGAGUACAGUAGAGGAUGGCGGAAUUUCCGGUGUAGCGGUGAAAUGCGUAGAGAUCGGAAGGAACAUCAGUGGCGAAGGCGGCCAUCUGGACUGACACUGACGCUGAGGCGCGAGAGCGUGGGGAGCAAACAGG